CGCGGUGCACGGACAAAUAACGGGAACAACGUUUUAUACGACUGUUACACGCUCCAUUCUUCCAUGCCAUUCACUUUUUACCACAACCUUGCAAAUCUGGGUUUUGUUUCAAGCGCCGAAAGAAAACGUCGAGCACGCAACAACGCGCACGUGCAAGAGCGCGAUCGGAAAGGAAGGCGUAUCUCCAGCGGCGUUCAGAAAAACGAUGUUUCUCACUUGAUUGCCAAGCCUUGCGCUUUAGUCAUUAGUGCAAUACCUCAAAGCAGCAACACGUUUCUUCCCCCUUCUGGAUGUGCCCCUCUAGGAUUCCAAAAAUCUGCAGCGCUCUGAGGCCCAGUGCAUCCAUGGAAACUCUCCAUAAAACACCUGUCAGACCUGCUCCAGUUCAAACACCUGCUGCAGGAAUCGCAGUUUACCAUCGGGGUUCCAACAGAGCGCCUGGGAAUAUCAGACAACUGGUCUGUCUAGUCAGUGCAGUCGAUGCAGAGAUGGGACUGCAGCCGUGAGAGAGGGAAACUCAGCAAAGACGAGCAAUUAGGCCUGUGGCAGAAGUCCAGCCACCCCAUGCCUCAGUGUGCGGAUGUGUUUGAGCCAACGACUGGCUAAAGUUCCUGUAGUGUGUGGAUAGGUUGAAAGACUAAAUGGACUCAAAGGCAAGCACGUCUUCUCAAGAACUCAGAGGUGGUUUUUGUAGCCGGUGCUUUGAUGUGUCUCUUUGUGUGUACCUUUGCCCUCCUUUUGAUUGUUCCCUCUCUGCUUUCCUGGAUGUAAACACCUACACAAGCUGAUGUGUCACAUUAGUUUCAAACAAAAACAAGUAAAAAACCUUUUGGUAAAGGCUGGUGGCUCAUCUUCUAGGACCCUGAAGAAAGUCUUCACAUGCUUACAUUCAACCGAUUUAUCGUACUUUUGAUGCUACAUGUAAAUACUCGCUGUUAUUGAUCUUUUUUUUUUUUUUCAGGUAGUUUUCCUUUAUGUAGCUUUUCCUGGGGUAUAUAGGGCUCUGCUCACCAUCAUCAAAGUUCGAUAGCAGCAAGGUUUAGGAGCCAGUUUGGCAGCCUGUCUCCAGCACCAGCCUAACUGGAAAAUGAGUAAGAUUAUGUUUCAAGAUACUUUUUUUUUCUCAUGCCUGCACGUCUCCCUUGCUUGCUCAUAGGCAUUGCUAGGCCAUAUUUACUGUAGGAGGACAUCUUUCAUCUCAGACCCUCUAAAAAAGUUGAUUUUACUCUGAUGUCAGCACUUUUUAAAAUCAGUGAUUAUGCAAUCUUAAUGUUUACUGAGAACAGCUACUGCAGAAAGCUAUCUGAGGUUAUUUCACUCAGAAUCCUCUCCUUAUCAGAUGUUUGAAACAUCCCUGUAGUUUCUGGCGGACAUGGUCUAAAGGUGACGUAAGGUGGCAAUGCUUAAAGCUGUCACAGGUGUCUCUUGCUUGAAUUCUUGUUGCAUUGAAAUCCGAAAAAAAUUAGUAAUUUGUGUUCAAAGGGAAUUUAGUACAAUGGCAGUAUAAGUGUCAUGAUUCUGGUCCACAAAUUUCCACAAACUUACCACCAGAUAUCAUUUCCUCACCAAAGUGAUUCUUGCACCACACUAUUUGUAUUUCACUCUGGACUUCAGUUCCCAUCAUCCAUAGCACUGAUGACACACACAUACCUGAUUGCACUCAUCUCACGCUCACCUGCAUUCAAUGAUGCACAAACUGUAAAUAACAGUUUCUCUCUCCGCUCCACGGUGAGUAUUGAUCUGCAUUUAGCACUCUCCUAGUGUUAGCUGCCUUGCUGUGCCAUUGUUUUUUUUUUGUUGUUGUUUUUUUAGUCUCCUGUAUUGUCUAGCAUGUAUCGCUCUCCCACUGAUAGCUACAUUAUGAAGCCCUUCCGUUUUACCUCAGUUAAAUUUAAAGUCUAGUUUAGUUCCUCUCCUGGAUUAUCUGUUUUUGAUUAUUUGCCUGUGCGUUUCGGAUUAACCCUUGCUGUUCUGACUCUGUCUGCUCCUUGUUUGAAUUCACUGCUCCUGUUAACAGAUUACCCCUCUUGUCAAGCCCUCUGAAUAUUGUACGCUGAUCGAAGACUCACACAUAUGCCCUAAGAAUACUCUUGUGUCUCGUCCAUGCCAUACCAGUGUUUGACCCUGCCAGUGU